rnacentral:rRNA from 1 species
UUGAUCUCAAAUCACGUAGGACUACCCGCUGAAC